CACUAGUGUAUAUUAAAGCUGUUGUGGUUGAAAAGUUCGUAGUUGGUUUUCUGUUGAGGACAACCAGUCUGCCCAUUGGGUCUGUAUUUGGUUUGUUCUAUGCAUCUCCUUGGGGAAGUUUGCUGUGCUUGACUGUGCGGUGUCUUUUCCAGGCCAAUAACUUUGAGGAAAUUGGAGUGUCCCAAGUAAGCUUUGCUGUUGAACACACGUGCAUGGAAUGGAGUACAAUGAAUGUGCUUGAACUUGCCAGUCCAGAGAGGACGUGAGGCUCAAGAGGGUUAGUUGGGGAUAUCUGAAUUUGGCAGUCAGAGGUGAAAUUCUUGAAUUUGUCAAAGGCAAGCGCUUGCGAAAGCAUUUGUCCAGAAUGCCUGUGUUGAC
rnacentral:rRNA from 1 species